rnacentral:rRNA from 1 species
CCUACGGGAGGCAGCAGUGGGGGAUAUUGCACAAUGGGGGGAACCCUGAUCCAGCGACGCCGCGUGGGUGAAGAAGGGCCUCGGCGCGUAAAGCCCUGUCUGCUGGGAAGAAAAUGACGGUACCUGAAGCAGGAGCCCCGGCUAACUACGUGCCAGCAGCCGCGGUAAUACGUAGGGGGCAAGCGUUAUCCGGAUUUACUGGGUGUAAAGGGGGAGCAGGCGGGGAUGCAAGCCAGGAGUGAAAGCCCGGGGCCCAACCCCGGGAGUGCUCUUGAAACUGCGUGGCUGGAGUGCAGGAGGGGCAGGCGGAAUUCCUGGUGUAGCGGUGAAAUGCGUAGAUAUCAGGAGGAACACCGGUGGCGAAGGCGGCCUGCUGGACUGCAACUGACGUUGAGGCCCGAAAGCGUGGGGAGCAAACAGGAUUAGAUACCCUAGUAGUC